rnacentral:rRNA from 1 species
CUUGGUCAUUUAGAGAAGUAAAAGUCGUAACAAGGUUUCCUUCACCUAUWGAAGCCUUCAGCAGGACUGUAAAGAAAUGCGUAGUUUGCUUGCAAGCAAUGCCACUCAAAUGCGAGACAUCUGAAUCAGCAGCCUUCUAGGCUCACAGAUCAAAUUGUGGUACCAUUCUUAUGGGCAAGAUAUGACCGGUCUUAACUAGAGUUAGUUAAGAUCCACGUUCCGUAGGUGAACCUGCGGAAGGAUCAUUAAAGGUUUCGGGUCCCAGUGCCCAAACUUCAACCCUAUGUUUUAACUAUACAUGUUUCUUUGCGGUUUCGGCCGGCAGAAGUUUUCUCAAACUCAUUAUUAAAUGUGUCUUSUGAAUCAAAAUUAAAUAAAUUAAAACUUUCAACAACGGAUCUCUUGGUUYGGCAUCGAUGAAGAACGCAGCGAAAUGCGAUAGGUAAUGUGAAUUGCAAAUUCAGUGAAUCAUCGAAUCUUUGAACGCAUAUUGCGCCCUUUGGCAUCCGAAGGGCAUACCUGUUCSAGCGUCAUUACACCCCUCAAAGAUAACUCUUGGCGUUGGGCAAUGCCUAAAGGCAUGCCUCAAAAUCAGCGAUGGUGAAUUCAACCACAGGCGCACAAAUGUCGUCUAGCUGGCGGGAUGUUGUCAGCAAUUGAUGAAUUUCUAAAUGUUGACCUCGGAUCAGGUAGGAAUACCCGUGAACUUAAGCAUAWMAAUAAGCGGAGGA